CGAGUGCCCCAAGCGUUAUCCGGAAUCAGUUGGGCGUAAAGGGUGUGUAGGCGGUUGUGUUAGUCUUUUGUUAAAGCUCUCGGCUUAACCGGGAAGAUGCAAAAGAAACGGCAUAACUAGAGGAUGCGAGAGGUGAAUGGAACUCAUAGUGUAGGGGUGAAAUCCGUUGAUAUUAUGGGGAACACCAAAAGCGAAGGCAAUUCACUGGCGCAUUCCUGACGCUGAGACACGAAAGCGUGGGUAGCGAAUGGGAUUAGAUACCCCAGUAGUCCACGCCCUAAACGAUGAUCACUAGCUUUUCGGAGUAUCGACCCUCUGAGAGGCGAAGCUAACGCGUUAAGUGAUCCGCCUGGGUAGUACGACCGCAAGGUUA
rnacentral:rRNA from 1 species